CUUCCUCUUUUUCUUUGUCACUCUUUCUGUCAGAGUACAACAACUGAGAAACAGAAGCAUUUAAAGUACGCCUAACAUCUGAAUCUAUCCACUGCUUAAAAACAGGACUUCUUGAUCUGUUCUGAGGUUGUUGUUAUGGCGGCAAUCCGGUUACUUCUGACUUUCCCAUUUGUAUCUGGUUUUUCUGAUUCUUGCCCGAAGAACCCAGACCUUUUCAUCACCACACCAGGAAACCUGUUAGCUCUGAGUGGAUCAUGUCUACACAUCCCAUGCAAUUUUUCAUCUAAAACAAGAGAAAGCUUUACAGGGGUAAACUACGGGGUAUGGUUUAUAAAGGAUCCUAGAUUUCAACGUUUUCCAAAUAACUUGAUUUUCAACAGCAGUGGCGCAGUAAAAGUGUAUCCACUAGAAAUUACAGGAAACCUGAUGGAGAAAAACUGCACAACUUUAUUUCACAAUUUAUCCAUGCAAUACUCAGAUAAAUACUUUUUCAGAAUUGAGAACUCGAUGUACAAGGCAACAGCUUCCUGCAGUCCGUGUCAAGUAACAGUAACAGAUUCUCCCUGGAGUCCCAGCAUUAAUAUCCCUGUUGGUGA